UGACCUCGGAUCAGACGUGAUUACCGCGCUGAAUUUAAGCAUAUUAUUAAGCGGAGGAAAAGAAACUAACAAGGAUUCCCCUAGUAACGGCGAGUGAACGGGGAAGAGCCCAACACCGAAUCCCUUGGCGCAAGUCAACGGGAAAUGUGGUGUUAAGGUAGCCCUUCGUGUCAGUCUAGGCGUCUCAAAGUCCACCUGAUUGUGGCUCAAGCCCAGAGAGGGUGUAAGGCCCGUAGAGACGCUCCGACUGAUUCCUGGGUUUACCUACGAGUCGGCUUGUUUGGGAAUGCAGGCCAAAGCGGGUGGUAAACUCCAUCCAAGGCUAAAUUACUGGCACGAGUCGAUAGCGGACAAGUACCGUGAGGGAAG
rnacentral:ncRNA from 1 species